CCUACGGGUGGCAGCAGUGAGGCAUGUUGGUCAAUGGACGAGAGUCUGAACCAGCCAAGUAGCGUGAAGGAUGACUGCCCUAUGGGUUGUAAACUUCUUUUAUAUGGGAAUAAAAUGUUCCACGUGUGGGAUUUUGUAUGUACCAUAUGAAUAAGGAUCGGCUAACUCCGUGCCAGCAGCCGCGGUAAUACGGAGGAUCCGAGCGUUAUCCGGAUUUAUUGGGUUUAAAGGGAGCGUAGGUGGAUUGUUAAGUCAGUUGUGAAAGUGUGCGGCUCAACCGUAAAAUUGCAGUUGAGACUGGCAGUCUUGAGUACAGUAGAGGUGGGCAGAAUUCGUGGUGUAGCGGUGAAAUGCUUAGAUAUCACGAAGAACUCCGAUUGCGAAGGCAGUUCACUGGACUGCAACUGACACUGAGGCUCGAAAGUGUGGGUAUCAAACAGGAUUAGAUACCCUUGUAGUC
rnacentral:rRNA from 1 species